rnacentral:rRNA from 1 species
UACGACUACAUAUCAGGCAUAUCAAUAAGCGGAGGAAAAGAAACUAACAAGGAUUCCCUUAGUAACGGCGAGUGAAGCGGGAAGAGCUCAAAUUUGAAAUCUUCAAGGUUCUACCUUGACGAAUUGUAGUUUAAAGAAGUGUUUUCUGUUAGAUGAGUAGCAAAAGUUCCUUGGAAUGGGACAUCAUAGAGGGUGAGGAAUCCCGUAUUUGGUUAUUCAUUCUAGCUUUGUGAUACACUUUCAAAGAGUCGGAUUGUUUGGGAAUGCAGUCCAAAGAUGGGUGGUAAAUUUCAUCUAAAGCUAAAUAUUGGCGAGAGACCGAUAGCGAACAAGUACCGUGAGGGAAAGAUGAAAGAGAACUUUGAAAAGAGAGUUAAACAGUACGUGAAAUUGUCAAAAGGGAAGCGUUUGACACCAGUGUUGUUUUUCCGAAAAUCAAUUACGAAUGGCUUGAUUUUGUGUUGUAUUGACCUUAUCAGCUUUCUGCACUUUUUUCGAGUCUUUCUUAAUGCACUUUUCGGUUAACAAGUCAACAUCAAUUUCUUUUGCUGUAAAAGAGUAUUCGGAAGGUGGCUUUCUUUUCGGAGAAAGUGUUUAUAGCCCUAUACUUCUACAAUCGGAGAGAUUGAGGUCUGCAGCGUAGAUCCUUCGGGGUUAGAUACACUUGUGCUAAGUUGUAGCUUUUCAUAGACAACUUGUUGACUAUGUUUAGUCAUGCGGCUUACUCGCUUAUGCUAUUUUACCUACGCUUAGGAUGUUGAGUAGCGACAUACGCAC